CCCAAAGGUCUCAAAUGCACCAGAUCCCAUCAGAUCUUGAAAGCUAAGCAGGGCCAGCUCUGGUUAGUACUUGGAUGGAAAACUGUCCAUGAAUACCAGGUACCAUAGGCU
rnacentral:rRNA from 1 species